rnacentral:rRNA from 1 species
CCUACGGGAGGCAGCAGUAGGGAAUUUUCCACAAUGGGCGAAAGCCUGAUGGAGCAAUACCGCGUGCAGGAUGAAGGCCUUCGGGUCGUAAACUGCUUUUAUGUGCGAAGAAUUUGACGGUAACACAUGAAUAAGGAUCGGCUAACUACGUGCCAGCAGCCGCGGUCAUACGUAGGAUCCAAGCGUUAUCCGGAAUUACUGGGCGUAAAGAGUUGCGUAGGUGGCAUUAUAAGUGGAGCGUGAAAGCGUGCGGCUCAACCGCAUUAUUGCGUUCCAAACUGUGAAGCUUGAGUAUGGGAGAGGUAGAUGGAAUUUCUAGUGUAGGAGUGAAAUCCGUAGAUAUUAGAAGGAACACCGAUGGCGUAGGCAGUCUACUGGCCCAUUACUGACACUAAGGCACGAAAGCGUGGGGAGCAAACGGGAUUAGAUACCCCGGUAGUCCACGCUGUAAAACUAUGGAUGCUAGCUGUGACACACACUACGACCUCGUGUCGUAGUACGAAGUUAACGUACGUUAACGUACGACGUCCGCCGUCGGGUAGGUACGGUCGGCGAACGUAAGUUAAACGUUAACGUUAAAGGAAAGUUAGUUACGGACGUGAGACGUUGCCGACGGACGACGACGAGGGAGGAGG